CACAUCGACUGCAGCUGAUAUUGAUAGCUGUCUGCUGGAGGUGGCAAACAAAACAUAACGGCGCAUAAAGCUCGGAUAUCGUAUAUACAUAUUUGUUAUGAACGCGGGUCCUAAUCCAACAAAUAGAAAUAUUUUGCUUCAUCCGGUUUUUGUUGGACUAUCAAGAUUGUAAAUAUUGAAUAAAUGUGUUUUAUAGUCGCAGCUAAAAGUGAAAAUGGGCGGAAAAAA